CCAGUGUUUGUCCAGCACGAUGCUGCUCAGCUCUACCUCACGUUCUGGAACCUUCUUAAGGAUCAAAUAGAUGAUGUGGACUUGGUAGAGAGGCUGCAGGCCCUGUACACGAUCCGGGUGAAGGAGUCCCUGGUUUGCCUCCUCUGUACCAGAGAGAGCAGUAGGAACAGCAGUAUGCUGACCCUCUCCCUCCCUCUCUAUGACGUGGACGCAAAGCCUCU